GGGUGAGUAACGCGUAGGUAAUCUACCCCCGUAUAAUUUGGGGAUAAACCUUGCGAAAGUGGGGCUAAUACCGAAUACCCUUUUAUUGAUGCGAGUCAAUGGGGAGGAAAGGAGGCCUCUUGUUAAAGCUUCCGUAUAGGGAUGAGCCUGCGUACCAUUAGCUAGUAGGUGGGGUAAAGGCCUACCUAGGCAACGAUGGUUAGCGGGUCUGAGAGGAUGAUCCGCCACACUGGAACUGGAACACGGACCAG
rnacentral:rRNA from 1 species